UACAGAGACUGCGAGCGUUAUUCGGAUUCAUUGGGCGUAAAGGGCGCGUAGGUGGCCAAGUGUGUGAGCCGUGAAAGCCCGGGGCUCAACCCCGGAAUUGCACCUCAAACUACAUGGCUAGAGUACUGGAGAGGGUAACGGAAUUCAUGGUGUAGCAGUGAAAUGCGUAGAUAUCAUGAGGAACACCAGAGGCGAAGGCGGUUACCUGGACAGUUACUGACGCUCAGGCACGAAAGCGUGGGGAGCAAAAGGG
rnacentral:rRNA from 1 species